rnacentral:rRNA from 1 species
CAUGCAAGUCGAACGAUGAUCUCCAGCUUGCUGGGGGGAUUAGUGGCGAACGGGUGAGUAACACGUGAGUAACCUGCCCUGGACUCUGGGAUAACCCCGAGAAAUCGGAGCUAAUACCGGAUAGGACCUGGAACCGCAUGGUUUUGGGUGGAAAGUUUUUCGGUCUGGGAUGGACUCGCGGCCUAUCAGCUUGUUGGUGAGGUAAUGGCUCACCAAGGCGACGACGGGUAGCCGGCCUGAGAGGGCGACCGGCCACACUGGGACUGAGACACGGUCCAGACUCCUACGGGAGGCAGCAGUGGGGAAUCUUGCGCAAUGGGCGAAAGCCUGACGCAGCGACGCCGCGUGAGUGAUGAAGGCCUUCGGGUUGUAAAGCUCUGUGGAGGGGGACGAAUAAGGGUCGUCGAAUAGACGGCCCGAUGACGGUACCCCUUUAGCAAGCACCGGCUAACUCUGUGCCAGCAGCCGCGGUAAUACGUAGGGGGCAAGCGUUGUUCGGAAUUACUGGGCGUAAAGGGCGCGUAGGCGGUCCUGAUCGUCGGAUGUGAAAGGCCUGGGCUCAACCUGGGAACUGCAUCCGAUACGGCGGGACUGGAGUGUGGGAGAGGUUGGUGGAAUUCCCAGUGUAGAGGUGAAAUUCGUAGAUAUUGGGAAGAACACCGGUGGCGAANGCGGCCAACUGGACCACAACUGACGCUGA